CUGGAGGUAUCAGAAGUGCGAAUGCUGACAUAAGUAACGAUAAAGCGGGUGAAAAGCCCGCUCGCCGGAAGACCAAGGGUUCCUGUCCAACGUUAAUCGGGGCAGGGUGAGUCGACCCCUAAGGCGAGGCCGAAAGGCGUAGUCGAUGGGAAACGGGUUAAUAUUCCCGUACUUGGUGUUACUGCGAAGGGGGGACGGAGAAGGCUAUGUUGGCCGGGCGACGGUUGUCCCGGUUUAAGCGUGUAGGUGUGUGUUCCAGGUAAAUCCGGUUCACUUUAACACUGAGGCGUGACGACGAGGCACUACGGUGCUGAAGCAACAAAUGCCCUGCUUCCAGGAAAAGCCUCUAAGCAUCAGGUAACAUCAAAUCGUACCCCAAACCGACACAGGUGGUCAGGUAGAGAAUACCAAGGCGCUUGAGAGAACUCGGGUGAAGGAACUAGGCAAAAUGGUGCCGUAACUUCGGGAGAAGGCACGCUGACAU
rnacentral:rRNA from 2 species